GGUAAGCCCUGCCCAGUGAAAUUUUAACGGCCGCAGUACCCUGACUGUGCUAAGGUAGCGUAAUCAGUUGGCUUUUAAAUGGAGUCGAGAAUGAAUGGGUCCAUGGGGGAUCGCUGUUUCUAGCCUGAGUAAUUGAACUUGGCUAGCGGGUGAAAAUGCCCGCGGGAAAGAAGAAAGACGAGAAGACCCUUAGAAUCUGAACAAGAUUAGCAUUAGAUCUAAUAAGUUUUUGUUGGGGCGACAACGAGGCAGAAGCAACUAAACCCUCGCAAAAUAAGGUUAGACAAGACGAUGCUUAUAAGUAGGACUAGAUUACCUUAGGGAUAACAGCAUAAUUUUUAUAAGCUUGUGACCUCGAUGUUGGACUAGGGACCUUAUGACUAGCCGUCACAAUGG
rnacentral:rRNA from 1 species